CACAGCCCUAGUUUUUACAUUUAAAAUUUUAUUUUUUUCCUGGAUAAGAAUUUACUAUUGUUUUUCUUCUGAUAGAAGAGGCGUCGGAGACUAGAUCGAAGUAUGAUAGGAGAACCAAUGAACUUUGUGCACACGGCUCAUGUUGGAACAAGAGAAAUGAUUAAUGGUUUAGCAUCUGCUGGGUCAGUUCAGGACUAUAUGAAGUCUAAAGGUGGCUAUGCAAAUGAUAAUUCUACAAAUGCACAGCUAUAGAAAAAAUGAAAGAGAGGCUGAAGCACCUGUGCUGAAAUCCUGAAAAUCUGUAUUGCUAGAAGGCCUCACUUGUUUGCACUGAUAUUGCAGCAUA
rnacentral:lncRNA from 1 species